CUUUGCUAGAUCUUCAUCACCCUUCAUUUGGAAUCCUUCCUCCGACGCAGGCGUGAUAAAAUACAAAAUAUAGUCAUCGCCCACUUGAAGAAUCUCGCGAGCAGCCUCGUAUUCAUUGAUGUAUCAUUCCAGAUUGAGUCUCGCACCUUGGAGACAAACAUAGCGUCCAUUCCAUGUGAAAUACAUGGUCAACUGGUCGAAGUCCCAAGUAAUAGGUCCGAGCCGAUGCAACCAAUCAACCCGCAAACAAAGUUGCAACCUCCCAAGGGUAUGAUAUGGAGAUCCAUAUCACAUUGUAUUCCCUAAACAUAAG
rnacentral:lncRNA from 1 species